UUGCUAUGAUGACAUCUUAGGACACCUUUGAAGUUCACCUUGAAAAAUCUUCUUAUUCUGAGCAAC